UACGUAGGGUGCGAGCGUUAAUCGGAAUUACCGGGCGUAAAGCGUGCGCAGGCGGUUUUGUAAGCCGGAUGUGAAAUCCCCGGGCUUAACCUGGGAAUGGCAUUCGGGACUGCAAGGCUGGAGUGCGGCAGAGGAGACUGGAAUUCCUGGUGUAGCAGUGAAAUGCGUAGAUAUCAGGAGGAACACCGAUGGCGAAGGCAGGUCUCUGGGCUGACACUGACGCUGAGACGCGAAAGCGUGGGGAGCAAACAGG
rnacentral:rRNA from 1 species